UACGAAGGGGGCUAGCGUUGCUCGGAAUUACUGGGCGUAAAGCGCACGUAGGCGGCUUCUUAAGUCGGUGGUGAAAUCCUGGAGCUCAACUCCAGAACUGCCUUCGAUACUGGGAAGCUCGAGUCCGGGAGAGGUGAGUGGAACUGCGAGUGUAGAGGUGAAAUUCGUAGAUAUUCGCAAGAACACCAGUGGCGAAGGCGGCUUACUGGUCCGGUUCUGGACGCUGAGGCGCGAAAGCGUGGGGAGCAAACAGG
rnacentral:rRNA from 1 species